rnacentral:rRNA from 1 species
UAGGGAAUCUUCCGCAAUGGACGAAAGUCUGACGGAGCAACGCCGCGUGAGUGAAGAAGGUUUUCGGAUCGUAAAACUCUGUUGUCAGAGAAGAACAAGUCGGAGAGUAACUGCUCCGGCCUUGACGGUAUCUGACCAGAAAGCCACGGCUAACUACGUGCCAGCAGCCGCGGUAAUACGUAGGUGGCAAGCGUUGUCCGGAUUUAUUGGGCGUAAAGCGAGCGCAGGCGGUUCCUUAAGUCUGAUGUGAAAGCCCACGGCUUAACCGUGGAAGGUCAUUGGAAACUGGGGAACUUGAGUGCAGAAGAGGAGAGUGGAAUUCCAUGUGUAGCGGUGAAAUGCGUAGAUAUAUGGAGGAACACCAGUGGCGAAGGCGACUCUCUGGUCUGUAACUGACGCUGAGGCUCGAAAGCGUGGGGAGCAAACAG